rnacentral:lncRNA from 7 species
AGAGCAGGAAAGGAAUGGAGGAAUCUGUCCAGAGCUGUGCCCCUGCUUGCCACAGGAGCUGCGCGGGAGGAGAAGAACGUGGGCCAAAAGGUAAGAGGAGCUCCUUUGGGUUCUGGGCUUGAAGCAAAGCUGAGAAGCCAUGCCCGGGAGGAGGUGUGGGUAGCUACAGGCCACCUUGCUAUCUCCCCAAGAGAUGAGGUGCGUGGGCUAGGCACCGGGCAGGAGUGCUGGCCAGAAGCAAGCAUCUCUGUGGAGGAAGGCAAAGGGCGGAGGAGGUUCAAGGGUAGCUACCGGGCAUGGCCUUGCUCAGCAAGGGGAGAAAAGCCUGAAGGGCACGAGAAGGGGAUAGAGAAGGGCAGGCAGUAGGCGUGAAGCUGCGAGCAGAGUAGAGAGCAACUUGGCAGAGCAGCAAGCAGAGUAGGCAAGUGUUGAGGUUUGGCGUGAGUAGCAGCAAAAGCCCAGAGCAUCAAGAAGCAGGAAGUGAGGAGAAGGUAAGUGAAGGGCAGGCAAGGUAAUGGGAGGCAAAGGCAAGGGGAAAGGGGGGGUAAGGGAGAAAGAAGGGAUGGGGAUGGGGAGGGGAUGGGUGAAGAGCAGAGCGGAGGGAAGGGCUGAGGGGAGGGCUGAAGGCAAACCUAUGAUGAAAAAAGAAAAGAAAAAAUAAGAACAAAAAAUAUGAAAAAAGAGAAAAAAAGAAAAGAAAAAUAAGAAAAAGAGAAAAAAUGAAAAGAAAAAAGAAAAAAUGAACAAAAAAGAGUAAAAAGAGAAAAAAAGAAAAAAGAGAAAAAGAGAAAAGAAAAAGAAAAAAUGAACAAAAAAGAGAAAAGAAAAAAAGAAAAAGAAAAAGAGAAAAGAAAAAAGAAAUGAAAAAAAGAGAAAAAAGAGAAAAGAAAAAAAGAAAAAGAUAAAGAAAAAAGAAAAAAGAAAAAAAAAAGAGAAAGAAAAAUAUGAAAAAAAGAAAAAGAAAAAAAGAAAAGAAAAAACAGUAGAUGAAAAAAGAAAAAACAAAAGGAAAAACGAAUAAUGACAAGAGAAGAAAGGUAAAGAGAAAAGAAGAAAAAAGCCAAGUCAAAAAGUAAAGAAUAACUCGAAGGAAGGAGUGGAUGGCAAGAAAUACAGAGAAAGCAGUGCAUAGCACAGCAGAGCAAAGCAAGGCAAAAUAGCAGCCAAAGCCACGAGAAUCAAGAAGUCAGUGAAGAGCAGGAAAGGUAAGUUUCCCUUAAAGCAAGGG